AAUCCAUAGGUUAAUGAGGCGAACCGGGGGAACUGAAACAUCUAAGUACCCCGAGGAAAAGAAAUCAACCGAGAUUCCCCCAGUAGCGGCGAGCGAACGGGGAGGAGCCCAGAGCCUGAAUCAGCAUGUGUGUUAGUGGAAGCGUCUGGAAAGGCGCGCGAUACAGGGUGACAGCCCCGUACACAAAAGCGCAUGUGCUGUGAGCUCGAUGAGUAGGGCGGGACACGUGGUAUCCUGUCUGAAUAUGGGGGGACCAUCCUCCAAGGCUAAAUACUCCUGACUGACCGAUAGUGAACCAGUACCGUGAGGGAAAGGCGAAAAGAACCCCGGCGAGGGGAGUGAAAAAGAACCUGAAACCGUGUACGUACAAGCAGUGGGAGCACCCUUCGGGGUGUGACUGCGUACCUUUUGUAUAAUGGGUCAGCGACUUAU
rnacentral:rRNA from 1 species